rnacentral:rRNA from 1 species
UUCCGGUUGAUCCCGCCGGAAGCCACUGCUAUGGGGGUCCGACUAAGCCAUGCGAGUCAUGGGGUCCCUUCGGGGACACCGGCGGACGGCUCAGUAACACGUCGGUAACCUACCCUCGGGAGGGGGAUAACCCCGGGAAACUGGGGCUAAUCCCCCAUAGGCCUGGGGUACUGGAAGGUCCCCAGGCCGAAAGGGGCUCUGCCCGCCCGAGGAUGGGCCGGCGGCCGAUUAGGUAGUUGGUGGGGUAACGGCCCACCAAGCCGAAGAUCGGUACGGGCCAUGAGAGUGGGAGCCCGGAGAUGGACACUGAGACACGGGUCCAGGCCCUACGGGGCGCAGCAGGCGCGAAACCUCCGCAAUGCGGGCAACCGCGACGGGGGGACCCCCAGUGCCGUGGCAUAGCCACGGCUUUUCCGGAGUGUAAAAAGCUCCGGGAAUAAGGGCUGGGCAAGGCCGGUGGCAGCCGCCGCGGUAAUACCGGCGGCCCAAGUGGUGGCCGCUAUUAUUGGGCCUAAAGCGUCCGUAGCCGGGCCCGUAAGUCCCUGGCGAAAUCCCACGGCUCAACCGUGGGGCUUGCUGGGGAUACUGCGGGCCUUGGGACCGGGAGAGGCCGGGGGUACCCCUGGGGUAGGGGUGAAAUCCUAUAAUCCCAGGGGGACCGCCAGUGGCGAAGGCGCCCGGCUGGAACGGGUCCGACGGUGAGGGACGAAGGCCAGGGGAGCGAACCGGAUUAGAUACCCGGGUAGUCCUGGCUGUAAAGGAUGCGGGCUAGGUGUCGGGCGAGCUUCGAGCUCGCCCGGUGCCGAAGGGAAGCCGUUAAGCCCGCCGCCUGGGGAGUACGGCCGCAAGGCUGAAACUUAAAGGAAUUGGCGGGGGAGCACUACAAGGGGUGGAGCGUGCGGUUUAAUUGGAUUCAACGCCGGG